AGGAGGGGGAAUGGCUGUUUAUGAGGGUGGAUGGUGAUAGGACAAGAGAGAAUGGUUUUAAACUGAGACAGGGGAGGUUUAGGUUGGAUAUGAGGAGGAAGUUUUUCCCCCAGAGGGUGGUGACGCACUGAACAGGUUGCCCAAGGAGGCUGUGGAUGCCCCAUCCCUGCAGGCAUUCAAGGCCAGGCUGGAUGUGGCUCUGGGCAGCCUGGUCUGCUGGUUGGCGACCCUGCACAUAGCAGGGGGUUGGAACUGGAUGAGCAUUGUGGUCCUUUUCAACCCAGGACAUUCUAUGAAAUGAAUUUUUCACAUAACUUGAAGUAAUUUAAUGCUUGAAAUUUGCAAUAGUUUU
ensembl:lncRNA